rnacentral:rRNA from 1 species
GAUGAACGCUGGCGGCGUGCCUAAUACAUGCAAGUCGAGCGAACGGACGAGAAGCUUGCUUCUCUGAUGUUAGCGGCGGACGGGUGAGUAACACGUGGAUAACCUACCUAUAAGACUGGGAUAACUUCGGGAAACCGGAGCUAAUACCGGAUAAUAUUUUGAACCGCAUGGUUCAAAAGUGAAAGACGGUCUUGCUGUCACUUAUAGAUGGAUCCGCGCUGCAUUAGCUAGUUGGUAAGGUAACGGCUUACCAAGGCAACGAUGCAUAGCCGACCUGAGAGGGGAAGCGGCCACACUGGAACUGAGAAACGGUCCAGACUCCUACGGGAGGCAGCAGUAGGGAAUUUUCCGAAAGGGGCGAAAGCGUGACGGAGCAACGCCGGGUGAGGGAUGAAGGUCUUAGGAUAGUAAAACUCUUUUAUUAGGGAAAAAAAUAUGUGUAAGUAACUGGGCACAUCUUGAAGGUACCUAAUAAAAAAGCCACGGCUAAAUACGU